AAAGAAAAAGAAGAGAAAAAGCACAUAUAAGAAAUUAUCAAAUACAAAAUGACUCUAGCUUUGCUAAUGAGCCUUGAAACCAAGGCAAAGAAAGCCAACUUUUUAAUCGAGUUCAUACGCAACCGUCCAAUUUAGGCCAUACUCUCACUCGAAAUUAAAGCCAAAAACUUUUGUACUUUGCACUUUUAAUCAAACAUAUUACUUACCACCACAACUGGCAGCAGGGAGACGGUUAAGACGAGCACCAGUACCAAAAACGGAGACAAUGUAAAGGUUCUUAGCACCGGAGUUAUCAGCACAGUUCAUAAUGGCUUGAACUGGAAGACCCAAGGUCAUUCUAUACUUAGUACCAGAGGCAGCACCGCGUCCACGAGACAUUUUGUGAUAAUUUUCUGCUGGUGUUUGGUUGUAGAAGGAACGUCGAACCCGCAAGUUUGCACUAAUGAGAAAUGUUACCUUCAAAAUUUUGUGACUGCUCUCUUUUCUCAACACAAAACAAAUUCAACAUCGUCUUACAGGUAACAGUAUUUUUUUCGGGUUUGCAGUAACAAUUGAGGAAGGAAGGAAGGAAGGAAUAAACAAAAAUAGGAAGUAUAAGAGACUAGGUGUAAUGUUCCAACAGUAUGUUACUAGAAGCGGCCGAUAUAUUUUUUACAUGAUUCAGAAAGCGAUAAGCUACAGGUCCGAGAAAUUUUGAGCGAAAACGGCCGACGGCUUGGUUGGAAUGUGUGGCAUAUGUAAAUGUAUUACAGCUAACAACAGAAUGGUUGCAAAAUUGCAUCUUAGAUUAAAUGAUAUAUUUGAUUUCAACGAUUUAUAAUGAACAGCUUGUAAUUAUCUAUAAACAGUACUUUACUCACCAUCGUGAAAUCAAUCCUCCGCUAACUCACACUAAACUAGAUCAAAUUUAAACAUACAUAUAUAUAUGCUUAUUCAUACUUCAAAAAAUGGAUUUAUGACUGUAAUGAAGGAACAAGUAAAAGUAAUUUGCAUUACCAUAAAGAACGUUUCUUCACAAUUCAGUUAAUUCUUUGAACUAUAACAGUUUACAGAAACUACACACACAACUAACUGUAUAGAAUAUAUGAAAUGAAAUGGAAUUGCUAUAUGAUGAUGAUGAUCAGCUAUGAACAA